rnacentral:rRNA from 1 species
AGCGAACGCUGGCGGCAGGCUUAACACAUGCAAGUCGAACGCCCGGGCAACCGGGAGUGGCAGACGGGUGAGUAACGCGUGGGAACAUACCCUUUGGUUCGGAAUAACUCAGGGAAACUUGAGCUAAUACCGGAUAGGCCCUUAUGGGGAAAGAUUUAUCGCCGAAGGAUUGGCCCGCGUCCGAUUAGCUAGUUGGUGAGGUAACGGCUCACCAAGGCGACGAUCGGUAGCUGGUCUGAGAGGAUGAUCAGCCACACUGGGACUGAGACACGGCCCAGACUCCUACGGGAGGCAGCAGUGGGGAAUAUUGGACAAUGGGGGCAACCCUGAUCCAGCCAUGCCGCGUGAGUGAUGAAGGCCCUAGGGUUGUAAAGCUCUUUCGGCGGGGACGAUAAUGACGGUACCCGCAGAAGAAGCCCCGGCUAACUUCGUGCCAGCAGCCGCGGUAACAC